UACGGAGGAUCCGAGCGUUAUCCGGAUUUAUUGGGUUUAAAGGGAGCGUAGGUGGAUUGUUAAGUCAGUUGUGAAAGUUUGCGGCUCAACCGUAAAAUUGCAGUUGAAACUGGGAGUCUUGAGUACAGUAGAGGUGGGCGGAAUUCGUGGUGUAGCGGUGAAAUGCUUAGAUAUCACGAAGAACUCCGAUUGCGAAGGCAGCUCACUAGACUGUCACUGACACUGAUGCUCGAAAGUGUGGGUAUCAAACAGG
rnacentral:rRNA from 1 species